UAAUUCAACCUCAGAUCAGGUAGGACUACCCGCUGAACUUAAGCAUAUCAAUAAGCGGAGGAAGAGAAACAAACAUGGAUUCCCCUAGUAGCGGC
rnacentral:rRNA from 1 species